rnacentral:rRNA from 1 species
UCUGGGACAAGCCCUGGAAACGGGGUCUAAUACCGGAUAACACCCCCUCUCGCAUGGGAGGGGGUUGAAAGCUCCGGCGGUGCAGGAUGAGCCCGCGGCCUAUCAGCUUGUUGGUGAGGUAGAAGCUCACCAAGGCGACGACGGGUAGCCGGCCUGAGAGGGCGACCGGCCACACUGGGACUGAGACACGGCCCAGACUCCUACGGGAGGCAGCAGUGGGGAAUAUUGCACAAUGGGCGAAAGCCUGAUGCAGCGACGCCGCGUGAGGGAUGACGGCCUUCGGGUUGUAAACCUCUUUCAGCAGGGAAGAAGCGAAAGUGACGGUACCUGCAGAAGAAGCGCCGGCUAACUACGUGCCAGCAGCCGCGGUAAUACGUAGGGCGCAAGCGUUGUCCGGAAUUAUUGGGCGUAAAGAGCUCGUAGGCGGCUUGUCACGUCGGUUGUGAAAGCCCGGGGCUUAACCCCGGGUCUGCAGUCGAUACGGGCAGGCUAGAGUGUGGUAGGGGAGAUCGGAAUUCCUGGUGUAGCGGUGAAAUGCGCAGAUAUCAGGAGGAACACCGGUGGCGAAGGCGGAUCUCUGGGCCAUUACUGACGCUGAGGAGCGAAAGCGUGGGGAGCGAACAGGAUUAGAUACCCUGGUAGUCCACGCCGUAAACGGUGGGAACUAGGUGUUGGCGACAUUCCACGUCGUCGGUGCCGCAGCUAACGCAUUAAGUUCCCCGCCUGG